CAUCCAGAGUUUGAUCAUGGCUCAGGAUGAACGCUGGCGGCGUGCUUAACACAUGCAAGUCGAACGAUGAAGCCGAAGCUUGCUUUGGUGGAUUAGUGGCGAACGGGUGAGUAACACGUGAGUAACCUGCCCCUGACUCUGGGAUAAGCCUGGGAAACUGGGUCUAAUACCGGAUAUGACCAUGGAACGCAUGUUCUGUGGUGGAAAGAUUUAUCGGUUGGGGAUGGACUCGCGGCCUAUCAGCUUGUUGGUGAGGUAAUGGCUCACCAAGGCGACGACGGGUAGCCGGCCUGAGAGGGUGACCGGCCACACUGGGACUGAGACACGGCCCAGACUCCUACGGGAGGCAGCAGUGGGGAAUAUUGCACAAUGGGCGAAAGCCUGAUGCAGCGACGCCGCGUGAGGGAUGACGGCCUUCGGGUUGUAAACCUCUUUCAGUAGGGAAGAAGCGAGAGUGACGGUACCUGCAGAAGAAUGCGCCGGCUAACUACGUGCCAGCAGCCGCGGUAAUACGUAGGGCGCAAGCGUUAUCCGGAUUUAUUGGGCGUAAAGAGCUCGUAGGCGGUUUGUCGCGUCUGCCGUGAAAGUCCGAGGCUCAACCUCGGAUCUGCGGUGGGUACGGGCAGACUAGAGUGAUGUAGGGGAGACUGGAAUUCCUGGUGUAGCGGUGAAAUGCGCAGAUAUCAGGAGGAACACCGAUGGCGAAGGCAGGUCUCUGGGCAUUUACUGACGCUGAGGAGCGAAAGCAUGGGGAGCGAACAGGAUUAGAUACCCUGGUAGUCCAUGCCGUAAACGUUGGGCACUAGGUGUGGGGGACAUUCCACGUUUCCGCGCCGUAGCUAACGCAUAAGUGCCCGCC
rnacentral:rRNA from 1 species